CUGGAAACACUAAAUUGAUUCAUUACAACCAAACAAGCUAGCCACAGAUGAAGCAACCAGGAAGUAACAUGAGCACCUAUGUGGAGUCAGGAUUACAGCCUCCUGACAAAUGCUGCCCUGUAAUGUAGCAGUUAGCGCCGUCGCCACACAGAAAGAAGGAUCCUGAUUCAUAUCCCCAGCAGACAGGGCCUUCCUGUGUGGAAUUUGCAGGCACUCCCUGUGCAUGUGUGGGCUCUCCCCAGGAAUUACCCACAAUCCAAUGCUUUCAAAAGAUGCAAAAAGAUAUCAGGAGGAAGCUGGGUCCUUGACUACUGACUACACUUUUA